GUUUAAGCGAUUCUCCUGCCUCAGCUUCCCGAGUAGCUGGGAUGACAGGCAUGCACUGCCAUGCCCAGCUAAUUUUUGUAUUUUUAGUAGAGACAGGAUUUCACCAUGUAGGCCAGGAUGGCCUGUAUCUCUUGAUCUCCUGCCUUGUGAUCUGCCCGCCUUGGCUUCCC